UCGGGAAUUUUGCGCAAUGGACGAAAGUCUGACGCAGCAACGCCGCGUGAGGGAUGACGGCCUUCGGGUUGUAAACCUCUUUUCUCAGGGAAGAUGAUGACGGUACCUGAGGAAUAAGCCACGGCUAACUACGUGCCAGCAGCCGCGGUAAUACGUAGGGCGCGAGCGUUGUCCGGAAUUAUUGGGCGUAAAGAGCUCGUAGGCGGUCUGUCGCGUCGGAUGUGAAAGCCCGGGGCUUAACCCCGGGUCUGCAUUCGAUACGGGCAGACUAGAGUGUGGUAGGGGAGAUCGGAAUUCCUGGUGUAGCGGUGAAAUGCGCAGAUAUCAGGAGGAACACCGGUGGCGAAGGCGGAUCUCUGGGCCAUUACUGACGCUGAGGAGCGAAAGCGUGGGGAGCGAA
rnacentral:rRNA from 1 species